rnacentral:rRNA from 1 species
GACUAACGCUGGCGGCGUGCCUAAUACAUGCAAGUCGAACGGGAUUCUUUGAUCAGCUUGCUGAGAGAAGGAUCUAGUGGCGGACGGGUGAGUAACGCGUGGGAAUCUGCCUCUUACUGGGGGAUAACAGUGGGAAACUACUGCUAAUACCGCAUAAGAUCUUCGGAUGAAAGGUGCAACUGCACCGGUAAGAGAUGAGCCCGCGUCCCAUUAGCUAGUUGGUGAGGUAAAGGCUCACCAAGGCGACGAUGGGUAGCCGGCCUGAGAGGGUGAACGGCCACACUGGGACUGAGACACGGCCCAGACUCCUACGGGAGGCAGCAGUAGGGAAUCUUCCGGCAAUGGGCGCAAGCCUGACGGAGCGACGCCGCGUGAGUGAUGAAGGCCUUCGGGUCGUAAAGCUCUGUUCUUGAGGACGAAUAAGCCAGGGAGUGGAAAGCCCUGGUGAUGACUGUACUCAAGGAGAAAGCUCCGGCUAACUACGUGCC